rnacentral:piRNA from 1 species
UUCUACCAUGUGGCUCCUGG